rnacentral:rRNA from 1 species
AGUGAACGCUGGCGGUAGGCCUAACACAUGCAAGUCGAACGGCAGCACAGUAAGAGCUUGCUCUUACGGGUGGCGAGUGGCGGACGGGUGAGGAAUACAUCGGAAUCUACUUUUUCGUGGGGGAUAACGUAGGGAAACUUACGCUAAUACCGCAUACGACCUACGGGUGAAAGCAGGGGAUCUUCGGACCUUGCGCGAUUGGAUGAGCCGAUGUCGGAUUAGCUAGUUGGCGGGGUAAAGGCCCACCAAGGCGACGAUCCGUAGCUGGUCUGAGAGGAUGAUCAGCCACACUGGAACUGAGACACGGUCCAGACCCCUACGGGAGGCAGCAGUGGGGAAUAUUGGACAAUGGGCGCAAGCCUGAUCCAGCCAUACCGCGUGGGUGAAGAAGGCCUUCGGGUUGUAAAGCCCUUUUGUUGGGAAAGAAAAGCAGCAGGUUAAUACCCCGCUGUUCUGACGGUACCCAAAGAAUAAGCACCGGCUAACUUCGUG